AUACAGAGGGUGUAAGCGUUAAUCGGAUUUACUGGGCGUAAAGCGCGCGUAGGUGGCUAAUUAAGUCAAAUGUGAAAUCCCCGAGCUUAACUUGGGAAUUGCAUUCGAUACUGGUUAGCUAGAGUAUGGGAGAGGAUGGUAGAAUUCCAGGUGUAGCGGUGAAAUGCGUAGAGAUCUGGAGGAAUACCGAUGGCGAAGGCAGCCAUCUGGCCUAAUACUGACACUGAGGUGCGAAAGCAUGGGGAGCAAACAGGAUUAGAUACCCUGGUAGUCCAUGCCGUAAACGAUGUCUACUAGCCGUUGGGGCCCUUGAGGCUUUAGUGGCGCAGCUAACGCGAUAAGUAGACCGCCUGGGGAGUACGGUCGCAAGACUAAAACUCAAAUGAAUUGACGGGG
rnacentral:rRNA from 1 species